rnacentral:lncRNA from 1 species
AGCUAGCAAAGGAAGAAUGUGGUACUACGUUACCCCAAGAAAGGAACAAAACUGCACUAAAACACAAUACAAAGAAAACAAAUUUUAAUCAGUUGAACCAGAAAGUAAUCGAUGAAAGACUGAACAAAGAUUAAACGGUAACCAUAAAAAAACACGCACCUGGGAUGCAAUGUCGCAAGAGAGAAAAAGGAGAGGGGGAAGAUGAUGAUGUUAUCAUAAACAAUAAUGCAAUGCCGCAAGAGAGAAAAAGGAGAGGUGCCGCAAGAGAAAAAGGAGAGGAGGAAGACGAUGAUAUCAGAAACUGCAAUGUCGCGAAGAGUCUGCGGUUUAUUUAAAAUGAAAUGGGGCGUCGGUUGCUCCAGAAACCGACGUUUAUAGUUACCUAGACGUCGGUUAUUAACUAAUUCAACGACCA